CCUACGGGGGGCUGCAGUGGGGAAUAUUGGACAAUGGGGGGAACCCUGAUCCAGCCAUGCCGCGUGUGUGAAGAAGGCCCUCGGGUUGUAAAGCACUUUCAGUGAGGAAGAACGCCUGGUGGUUAAUACCCAUCAGGAAAGACAUCACUCACAGAAGAAGCACCGGCUAACUCCGUGCCAGCAGCCGCGGUAAUACGGAGGGUGCGAGCGUUAAUCGGAAUUACUGGGCGUAAAGCGCGCGUAGGUGGCUUGAUAAGCCGGUUGUGAAAGCCCCGGGCUCAACCUGGGAACGGCAUCCGGAACUGUCAAGCUAGAGUGCAGGAGAGGAAGGUGGAAUUCCCGGUGUAGCGGUGAAAUGCGUAGAGAUCGGGAGGAAUACCAGUGGCGAAGGCGGCCUUCUGGACUGACACUGACACUGAGGUGCGAAAGCGUGGGUAGCAAACAGGAUUAGAUACCCUGGUAGUC
rnacentral:rRNA from 1 species